GGUCUUUUAGUAUAAUGGUAGUACGGCUGCCCUUCACGCAGCAAAUGUCAGUUCAAAUCUGAUAAAGACUA
rnacentral:tRNA from 3 species